GGAAUCGACAGCUGACAACAAAAUAUAUAGGGCAUUUUUGUGUUAGCGAGAUAAGACCGUGCGUCCUUUUUCAGCAAUUCCUCAGGAACUGAAACCUUUAUUGAUAAAUGUGGUACAAAAUGACCAUACUAUUGUCUUACACCCAUCAUUUAACCUCAGCAAAUAAUAUCCUAUUAAUAACGUUUGGAUAUUUUAUCUUCACAUCUAUUUUAAUCUCAUCUCUUUAGAAGAGAAUAACAUCUACUUUAAUGGAACUAUAAUGCAUUGUGCAGAUUCCCAUAACAUCAGUCUGUAAUAGUGACUUUAAACCUCGUAAAUAAUUCCCUACCGGCUCAAAAAUACAUCAAUCCCUUUAAAUAUUCUAUGGAAUCAUAUACGCAUAUAAGAACUGAUAAGAUCAAUAGAAGAAAAAUAGAGUUAAUUAAUCAAAGACCGAAUGAGGAACAGAGAAAAAAAAGAUGUAUUAUAAUUCUAGACACUUCAAGUAUGGCUUCCGAUUUUCUUAUUAUUUUUUAGUCUCUUCUGCCAUUGGAAAAAGUGGAAGACAAUUCAAAAAAAAAAGAUAUGAGUCUAUAUUAUUAUGUAUUAAUAUUAUAGUAUAUUAAUAUAUGUGUAUUAUAUUGACAAUUAGUACAAUGAGUACAUAUGAUACAAAAUGGAAUCUGUGUAAACAACAUCGGCAUUCUCUCAAUGAAGCUUGUUCUCGUUGUUAUGAAAUUGUCAAUCAUCAUGGACGAAGGAAUUAAGCUCCAUCUAUCUAUUAAGUAAAUGAAGAAUAUCUAUUGUCACAUCAAUGUAUCUUUCAUGGGCGUCGAUCAUUUCAAGACCUGUGUAAGACAUUAGCAUGAUCUGAAUCAAGAUAAUUUUCUACGUUUAUCCUUCAAAUCUAAGCAUAGGCAAAGACAGCACAAGCUUCCCUUAUCUAUUUGGCCAGGAUGGAAGAUUCUCAUUUGAUUCGUGUUAUCAUAGACAUAAAGAUUGUUUGAACCAAGGGAUUCUUUUUAAUGUGAUAUAAGGAAUGGGGAAUCUUAGUAUCAUUUUUGGUGUUUUGUCAUAAUUUGUUGAUAUUGUAAAAUAGUUAAAUUGAAUAAUUCUCUUUUCAACUAA
rnacentral:lncRNA from 1 species